rnacentral:rRNA from 1 species
GAUGAACGCUAGCGGCGUCCCAAACACAUGCAAGUCGAGCGAUCUUCUUCGGUAGAGAGCGGCGGACGGGUGAGUAACGCGUGGGUAACCUGCCAUGUACACCCGGAUAACAUACUGAAAGGUAUGCUAAUACGAGAUAAUAUGAUUUUAUCGCAUGAUAGAAGUAUCAUAGCUUUUGCGGUACAGGAUGGACCCGCGUCUGAUUAGCUAGUUGGUAAGGUAACGGCUUACCAAGGCAGCGAUCAGUAGCCGACCUGAGAGAGUGAUCGGCCACCUGGGAACUAAGGCACGGUCCAAACUCCUACGGUAGUCAGCAGGCGGGAAUAUUGCACAAUGAGCGAAAGCCUGGUGCAGCAGCGCCGCGGGAUCGAUGAAGGCCUUCGGGUCGUAAAGCUCUGUCCACAAGUAAGAUAAUGACGGUACUUGAGGAGGAAGCACGGGCAAAGUUCGUGCCAGCCGCCGCCGAAA